rnacentral:rRNA from 1 species
UACGAAGGUCCCGAGCGUUGUUCGGAAUCACUGGGCGUAAAGGGAGCGUAGGCGGCGCGGUAAGUCAGAUGUGAAAUCCCGGGGCUCAACCCCGGAACUGCAUCCGAUACUGCCGUGCUUGAGCAAUGGAGAGGUAGCUGGAAUUCUCGGUGUAGCAGUGAAAUGCGUGGAGAUCGAGAGGAACACUCGUGGCGAAAGCGAGCUACUGGACAUUUGCUGACGCUGAGGCUCGAAGGCCAGGGGAGCGAAAGGG